UACGGGGGGAGCAAGCGUUGUUAGGAUUUACUGGGCGUAAAGGGCGCGUAGGCGGCCACCGCAAGUCGGUUGUGAAAUCUCUGGGCUUAACCCAGAAAGGUCAACCGAUACUGCGGGGCUAGAGUGCAGAAGGGGCAACUGGAAUUCUCGGUGUAGCGGUGAAAUGCGUAGAUAUCGAGAGGAACACCUGCGGCGAAGGCGGGUUGCUGGGCUGACACUGACGCUGAUGCGCGAAAGCUAGGGGAGCGAACGGG
rnacentral:rRNA from 1 species